GUCCUUCAUAUUGUGUUUCCCUAGGAUCAUCAUUAACUAUCAUAACUUUUCACGUUUAAGGUCUUUGAUGAGCUCUCAUGUUUUAAUGAAAGGGCUAUCAUUAAACUUUGAGAGCCUUGUAACCAUUCUUUCAUAUAAUUUCUCUUCGCGCCUCUGUCUCUUCAUUUCCUCAUUUUCUCUGCAAUUCUUCAUUUCCCUCGCUCUUUUUCCUCAUUUCUCUGUCAUCAAGCUUCAAUCUUUCUCCCAGGCCCAUCUUUUUCUGUUUUAAUUUAUCCCCUCCACUAAAGUUAUGAUCUUUAUGCCGUGGGUUUUUAUACCCCCAAAAUCAGAGUCAAUCGUUGAAACAUUUAACACAAAAUCUAAUUAAAUCUUAAUCCCC
rnacentral:lncRNA from 1 species